UACCUCUUUAUAUCUUUGUGAAGCAAAAUUUACCAAGCAUCAGAUUGUUCACCUACUAAUAGGAAACAUGAGUUGGAAUUAGACCAGCAUGAGACAGGUU
rfam:Colinus virginianus strain Texas jcf7180006227027, whole genome shotgun sequence.